GAUGAACGCUAGCUACAGGCUUAACACAUGCAAGUCGAGGGGUCUUUAGGGCUUGCUCUAGAGACGACCGGCGCACGGGUGAGUAACGCGUAUCCAACCUGCCCUUCAUAUUGGGAUAGCCUUCCGAAAGGGAGAUUAAUACCGAAUAACAUGAUGUUUUUGCAUGAUUUCAUCAUGAAAGCUCCGGCGAUGAAGGAUGGGGAUGCGUUUCAUUAGGUAGUAGGCGGGGUAACGGCCCACCUAGCCAACGAUGAAUAGGGGUUCUGAGAGGAACGGUCCCCCACACUGGAACUGAGACACGGUCCAG
rnacentral:rRNA from 1 species